ensembl:miRNA
UGUUGAGUUGGCCAAAAAGUUCGUUUGGAUUUCUCUGUAAUAUCUUACGGAAAAACCCAAACAAACUUUUUUGAACAACCCAAUA